rnacentral:rRNA from 1 species
AAUGGGCGAAAGCCUGAUGCAGCAACGCCGCGUGUGUGAUGAAGGCCUUCGGGUCGUAAAGCACUUUUCUGGGAGAUGAGAAAGGACAGUAUCCCAGGAAUAAGUCUCGGCUAACUACGUGCCAGCAGCCGCGGUAAAACGUAGGAGGCAAGCGUUAUCCGGAUUCACUGGGCGUAAAGCGCGUGCAGGCGGUGCGGUAAGUUAGGCGUGAAAUCUCCCGGCUCAACUGGGAGAGGUCGUCUAAUACUACCGUACUCGAGAGCAGAAGAGGAAGAUGGAAUUCCCGGUGUAGUGGUGAAAUGCGUAGAUAUCGGGAGGAACACCAGUGGCGAAGGCGAUCUUCUGGUCUGUUUCUGACGCUCAGACGCGACAGCUAGGGUAGUAAACGGGAUUAGAGACCCCGGUAAUCCUAGCCGUAAACGAUGUGAACUUGGCGUUGGUGGGUUAAACUCCAUCAGUGCCGUAGCAAACGCGAUAAGUUCACCGCCUGGGGACUACGGCCGCAAGGUUA